rnacentral:rRNA from 1 species
AGUGAACGCUGGCGGUAGGCCUAACACAUGCAAGUCGAACGGCAGCACAGGAGAGCUUGCUCUCUGGGUGGCGAGUGGCGGACGGGUGAGGAAUACAUCGGAAUCUACUUUUUCGUGGGGGAUAACGUAGGGAAACUUACGCUAAUACCGCAUACGACCUACGGGUGAAAGCAGGGGAUCUUCGGACCUUGCGCGAUUGAAUGAGCCGAUGUCGGAUUAGCUAGUUGGCGGGGUAAAGGCCCAUCAAGGCGACGAUCCGUAGCUGGUCUGAGAGGAUGAUCAGCCACACUGGAACUGAGACACGGUCCAGACUCCUACGGGAGGCAGCAGUGGGGAAUAUUGGACAAUGGGCGCAAGCCUGAUCCAGCCAUACCGCGUGGGUGAAGAAGGCCUUCGGGUUGUAAAGCCCUUUUGUUGGGAAAGAAAUCCAGCUGGUUAAUACCCGGUUGGGAUGACGGUACUCAAAGAAUAAGCACCGGCUAACUUCGUGCCAGCCGCCGCAGUAA